rnacentral:rRNA from 1 species
GACGAACGCUGGCGGCGUGCUUAACACAUGCAAGUCGAACGGAAAGGCCCUGCUUUUGUGGGGUGCUGGAGUGGCGAACGGGGGAGUAACACGUGAGUAACCUGUACUUGACUUUGGGAUAACUUCAGGAAACUUGGGCUAAUACCGGAUAGGAGCUCCUGCUGCAUGGUGGGGGUUGGAAAGGUUCGGCGGUUGGGGAUGGACUGGCGGCUCAUCGGCUUGUUGGUGGGGUAGUGGCUUACCAAGGCUUUGACGGGUAGCCGGCCUGGGAGGAUGACCGGACCAAUUGGGCUUGAGAUAAGACACAGACUAGACCGGUACGCAGCGGUGGGGAGGAGUACACAAGAGGCGGAGCCAUGAUGCGGCACCGCCGCGUGCGGUAAGACAGCAUGCCGGUUGGAAACCGCUGUCGCCUGUGCCGGAGCGUGAGUGACGGUAAUGGGUAAAGAAGCACCGGCUAACUACGUG